GAGAAAGAGAGAGAGAGAGAGAGAGAGAGAGAGAAAGAGAGAGGGAGGAAGAGAGGAAGAGUGGGAGCAAGUGCAUUUUAAGUGCAAGCGAGGCCAAACCUAUGCAAUUGGUUGGAAAGCGAAACGCUUCGUUGGAGGGGAAUCACUUGGAUAGCAGAGAAAGAUGGAAGAUGCUAUCUUUGGACUCGUGUCCCGUAGACUCGUCGCAUGUUUAGAAUUCAAAAUAGCGCAGGUGCGCCAUUUUACUCUAUGUAUGUGUCUCUAUGUAAAGUUGGCCCAGUUAUAAAACGUUGUGAGUUUAAGCGUGUCAUCGUCUUUACGAACGAUCGAUCAAUCACAACGUUAUUAAUACGUUCUGCUGCCUCGUAAGUAACUAUUUUUACGAUCCAAGUAAUCCUUAAAGCGUUCAUUGUCUAUUACAUUAUCUUAUAAUAAACUACCUUUUAACAAAAUUGAAAAGGAAAACAAAAAAAAAAAUAAAUAAAUAAAUAAAAGAAAAUAACAAAAACAAAACAAAACAAAAAAAAGAAUCAAAUAAAAUGAAUAAAUAAAUAAAUGAAUGAAUGAAUGAAUGAAUAAAUAAAUAAAUAAAUAAAUAAAAGGAACAAAAUAAAAUAUGAGUUACAUUCGUUAUUAUGCAAACUCAAAUGAACGUGUAUCUCGUUAUUGAAAUAACGAUGAUAGAUAAAUCAUUUAGAGAAAAUUAUUGUUCUAUUUCGAGAUCAUUAAUGAUAUAUAUGUAUGUGUGUUACGAUGUAUAUAUAGAUAUACAUGUUACAUAUGUACUUCUUUCUCGAUGAAAAACGAGUGGAAUGUGCGUUUACGAUUACACAUACGUACACUCACACACGUGUAUCUGAAUAAAAUUGUAUUUAGGCCGUUGCGAUCUGGUUCUUUCGACAUAAUAUGCGCAUACGCUAACGAUAUCCAUGGGUACUCGUUUCAUAUCAUUGUUUUCGGAUUUUGAUUAAACCUAUUUGUACCAGAUUGGGACCUUCUUCAAUAUCCAAUUUUAAUUAGAAUUUAAAUCAUUUUAAAUUCAAUUUAUCGAUCUCGAUUUAAUUCAAAUCAUUAAUGACAAAUAUCAAAAAUGAAAUACCAAAGAACGUACGUUCUUUAUAUUUUCUCUUCUCUACUUACUUUCUCUCUUUUUUUCCUUUUAUUUUAUUUCAUUUUACAUUAUUUUAUUCCUUUUUUUAUCC